AAACCUCCAAAUUUCAAACUCCAUUCAAAUUUCAAGUGUAAUUCUAAAAGUGCUUUAAAUGUUCAACCUAAUUUAAAUGCACACUUAAAGGUCUCAACACGAAUGCACAUUUGUUUUUUAUUUUAUUUUAGUGUUUAUGCAAAUGCUUCUAUAAUUCCUACACCUAAAUAAAGGAAAUAUUUUUAGAGAAAUAAUUUCUAUUGUGUAAUAUUUAUUUAAAGGUAUUUUAAGAAAUAUAAUCUCUAGUUUCUAAAAUUCUUUAG
rnacentral:lncRNA from 7 species